UACGAAGGGGGCUAGCGUUGCUCGGAAUCACUGGGCGUAAAGGGUGCGUAGGCGGGUCUUUAAGUCAGAGGUGAAAUCCUGGAGCUCAACUCCAGAACUGCCUUUGAUACUGAAGAUCUUGAGUUCGGGAGAGGUGAGUGGAACUGCGAGUGUAGAGGUGAAAUUCGUAGAUAUUCGCAAGAACACCAGUGGCGAAGGCGGCUCACUGGCCCGAUACUGACGCUGAGGAGCGAAAGCGUGGGGAGCGAACAGG
rnacentral:rRNA from 1 species